GAUGAACGCUGGCGGCGUGCUUAACACAUGCAAGUCGGACGGGAAGGGGUUGUUCUAGUGGCGUGCUGGAGAGGAACGCGUAAGAAUCUCCCGUGGGUAGGGUAACAACGGCUGUAAGCUGCCUCUAGUAACCCGUGGGCUGUGGAGGAAAAGGAGGACUCCGCCCGAGGGGGGGCUGGCGACUGAUGAGGGAGGUGGUGUGGCAAUAGGUUAACAAGGCGAUGAUCAGGAGCUGGUCCGAGAUGAUGAUCAGCAAUGCUGCGACUGAGACGCGGCGCAGGCUCCUGCGGGAGGCAGCAGUGGAUAAUGCACCGCAGUGGGCGACAGCCUGACGGAGCAAUGCCGCGUGGAUGUCGAAGGCCGAGGUGUCGUCCACUUCCUCCUCCGGCGAAGAAUCAAUGACGGUAUCUGGUAAAUAAGCAUCGGCUAACUCUGUG
rnacentral:rRNA from 1 species